GCGACCGUAGGCAGACAACUCAAAUACAUUGUCGAAGAACUGCAAAAGUAUACAUCGUAGACUUUAGUUGUACAUAGGACAUGUGCAAACACAUGCAACAUGCCAUCUACAUGACCAGUGCGAUGGUCCAUGUAACCAUUAUACAAAACAGCAAGCGACUGUUACACACGGUAACUUCAAAGUGUCUGAUACAAACCACACUUAAGAACGCUACAUAACUGAUUAUAAUGAUAGACGCGGCAUCAAACGGCUACUGCAUUGCCCUGCUUGAUCCAAUCGAACUUAAUCCCUAUAAGUGCCAAAGACAAGUCUUUGAUCAGAGCAUAUCAAAGUAUUGAAGAUACAUUAUGGUUUUUAAAUUACCUUUUUACUCUUCGCAGUCGCGCUUGCGUUUUCCAAAUAAAUCUUUGCGAACAUUGCACAUGGCACGUUUCCCAACUUGCUUGCUGUUCAAUAGUUCAAAGCAUGGUUCACUGUCUUGAUAUGCGAGACAGUUAGAUCACAAUCCAUGUAAAGUUUGUUUAGUACCUUGACAUGUCUAACUUCGGAGGAGGGGUCAUCUGUUGUUCAUAUGUGCUGGGAGAAGGCGUUGUCUGCUGUUUGGUUGUGCUCUGCGCAGUUUAAGAAGAUAAUAAUAUCAGCAGGAAAUCAUCGAUGAUCAACGCUUAAAAAAGAAAUAAGAUGCGAGUCCAUGAGUGAUAGUCAAGUAAGCAACACACACCAUGUUAUCGAGCAUGUGCAUGCCACUUGCUGAUUAGUGGAUAUGAACUUGUGAAGAGAAGCAAGGGUAUUACUAAUGGCAGUGGGCAGGUAUUGUUGGUAUCGUCACAGUCGCUGGCCAUGUCGAUCUCGUUAUUGCCAUUUCCAGUUUCUUGGGACAUCUUGGACAUUUUUUUAAUUCGCGUGUCUAAUCUUCAAAUAUCAUUGCCCACGAGGAAGUCGCUAGCAACUUGUGGUGACAAGCCUUUAACUCAUGAUAGUUUGCAUCAUCAACAUAUAUUAUCGACCUAUCAUUUAAGAAAGCCAGUACAACUGAGCUGGCUGAUUCUAUGGCCAACUCCUUUGUUCCAGCAUACCCCCCAUGAAACACCUUUGGCUCCGCCGCACGCAUAUUGUUAUGAGCACUCAAAUGCAGAUAAAUGGAUGCAUACAACUCCCCAUCUUCAGCAUCAGUUACCUUGAUGCUUUCUACAACAAGCCCAAGCCUCUUUAGAGCCAGAUCCAAAAUAUAUUGCCGGCAUAUGGUCACACAGCGUGGAGUGAGCUAUUUAAGAAGGCAGAUCAUAAAAAAAAGUAUCAGCCAUGUCUCAAAUGUAGAGAGGACCUACAUAAAAAAAUGAACGGAUCAUCAACAAUUGGGCUAACCAGAGGUAAGAACGGAACGUGUAGCUCAUCGUCUGAUACAUAGAAGUCGUCCAUUGCCUUCUCGCUCCGUACUGUUUCCAUAAAUCAAAUUUCAUUGUCGUUAAACAACAGAAAAUGAAAGAGCAGUUUUAGAUGGGGCCUCAAAAUAGUAGCAGACACUGAGGAUCAUGUGGCUGUUAAACAUAGCUCGGCUACCUCCGUAUAAGCACUGAUAUAUUCGACUGUGGAUUUUCUGUAAGUAAGCUAACUAAUUUCAGAGCGUUUAUCUGAGUCACACACCUAAAUACAGAUUGCGGUGGUUCCUCUCCUAGCAUUUAUAAUGUUGGCGAUUUGCCUUCUUAGACCAUAUAGAAAAUGUCGAGGAGCAAGUAAGUUUUCUGUUAUACUAUAAAUGCACAUGCCAAUGUUUUUUAAAGUGAGCACAUCGUCACCUCUUGUUUCUUUUGUCCGUGUACAUCCGGCAGAUUAUCUGGUAAUAAGAUGAUAUAAUGCAUUGUUUCACUCAUCAUGUGCUUGGUGUGGGUAAAUCAGUAUAAAACACGUACAUGCCAGGGUUUGUAUACACGUAUGUGUGUGUCUGCUCAGAGAAGAGGAUGUGUUUGUGUGCAUCGCUCGUCAACUGUUUCCCUAUCUGAAACCUAACACUAAAUAAAGCAGCAGGUAGCGCAGAUAAAUUCAGAUGAAUUUCAGACCAAACCUCAUUUGAUCUUGAUAGAAUGGAUUACAAACCAGACAAAUCAUAUACCUAUGCUAUAAUCCUCGGAUAGUAUGUCGACUACAUGAUAUACUGCGGUAACCUGAAGAAUACUAUACAUCUAGAAGACAAAUAACAAGGAAAGGGAAAGGGAGACCUUGUAUCGAAGGAGCUCGACACCUGGGCUCUGAAUCGCGGCGAACGGAGGUUGGGGAAAAGCACGGGACGGAGGCGGCGGUCAAGGGAGACGAAUGGAGAGAGCCGGGACUGGUGGCAUUGGGCAAGACUGAUUUUAGGGUUACCCUAUAUUGUUGGGAAACCUAAGUUGGUGGGCUUCGACCCAGAUGCUGACAAGCCCGAUUGAGUAGCCAUGGAGAGAAAACGGGCCUAUUUGAAACGGCUGGAACUUGAAAAGGAGGGGAAAGAAGGAGAAAAGGAAAGCCAAUAUUCUGUACAUAUUUAUUUACGGACCUGGAACAUUAGCCCUAGAUGCAAGCAUAUUCAAUGGUAAAAAUAUUGUGUUUGUAAGAUGUCUUGAACUCAAAACUACGUCAAAAUGUUCAAAAGAAAAAAC
rnacentral:lncRNA from 1 species